rnacentral:rRNA from 1 species
UACGAAGGGGGCAAGCGUUGUUCGGAAUUACUGGGCGUAAAGCGCGCGUAGGCGGCGUCGUCAGUCAGAGGUGAAAUCCCAGGGCUCAACCUUGGAAUUGCCUUUGAUACUGCGAUGCUUGAGUUCGAGAGAGGGUGGCGGAAUACCCAGUGUAGAGGUGAAAUUCGUAGAUAUUGGGUAGAACACCAGUGGCGAAGGCGGCCACCUGGCUCGAUACUGACGCUGAGGUGCGAAAGCGUGGGGAGCAAACAGG